AUAUAAGGCAGGUGGAGACAGGAUCCCAGGUCCCCUUUCAGUCUGAGGAUCUGGAGAGAGAGAACAUGUCUCGAACGUGGAGUACAGGUAGUUCAUAUUUGUCUACAAAGCGAGAGUGAUGAAUGGAGCCAUCGGGAGAAAUGGAUGAUCUCAGCGCAGCCUAGCACACAAUUACUCAUUCGCUUCCCACGCUUCGUGUGUCUAAAAGACUUGGAAACACUCUGAAGAGAUUCUGAGUCGAUGGACAUCUCAGCUGCCCUAAUGAUCGUGCUUUGACCAGGAGAAAAUAACUACAAGAAACUACUAAUUUACAGAAUGUGCAGAUGACCUACUUUAUUCAUAACCAUAGGAGUUUUAAUUUAUUAAGCAACAAUUUAAUAUGAGCAGUGCCUAGUAAUUCUACUUUGCUGUGUGUUUUGUGGGAGAAUAAUGUAUUACUUAAUGGAGAGGAUAAAUUUAUUAUUGGGGAAUUUUAAUAAUGAACAAAAUUAUGUUUGGGUAUUUUCUUGGGAAGUAAUUAGUUGCAUAACUGUCCUUCCCUGAAGUGUGGCGGUAUUGGUGGCAAUUGCUAUUUAGUGGUGAAUUCCCUACAAAACAUCCUACCCGUGUCUUGCUGCAGUGGUGCAGGAGUGCUGAGAGAUGUCAGAAGCCCUGGGCCUGGGGAGGAACUCACUAAAAUAAGCUCCCGGCUUCCAGCGGCUCUGCUGGUCACUUUCACCCGCACAAGGCAGACCUGAGACAGAAUGGGGAGGUCACUGAUUGGGGCUUUUGCUCCAUAGCUCCCACUGACUUGAGAGGCUGCAGCCUCCAGGGUCCCCAGACAAUCUUCCUGUGACCUGCUACACUGCCUGGGACUUGUUCAUCCCAUUGAAAAGACUCGUUUAUGUGGACACAGAAGUUCUAGAGGGUCACUGAUAGAAUGUAGACAUUCAACUAGAAUCUGUGACUAGCUGGGCAUUAAUUAGUAAUUAUGCUUGGGAAGUAACAUGUAUUAUUAAAACGCUGCAGGCAAGAGCCUAGUUCACAACAGCUUAAGCAAAUGAGGGGUUCACCGGCACAUAGAGCUGAGGAGAAAUCUGGAUAGAUGAUGGAAUUAUAAAGGCAGUGUUCAAGAAGAGGCUGAGAAUAGUGGUCUGGAAUCAGCAACGCAACGCUGCCAGGGUUCUCUCAACCCAACACUGGAUGUCGGGAUAAAAACCCUAUGCUAAGACAAGCUUUCUCCGUAUAGCCAGGGAGGAGUGUGAGAGGCCACUUGGUACACUCCUUAGCUUAGCAACACCAGUGAAGAGAGAUUCCUUCUUUCGCCCAGCAUCUCUGUAUUCAUCAGCAUUCCCUCACUAUAACAAAAUGCCUGAGAUGGUCAACUUAAAAGAGAAAAGGUUUUGCGGUUCUAGGCCACGAUCAGUUGGCCCCAGGGCUUUGGACUCACAGAAAGGCCCUCAUGUCACAGUAGGAGUCCAGGGCGGAAUAAAACCACUCAGCUCUGUGGCCAAGAAGCACAAGGACAAAAGGAAAAGUCACUUCCACCAUGCUCUAAGGACCUCUCACAAGAUCUGACUUUUCAAAGUUUCUACUGACUCUGGAUAGUGCCACCCCCAGGUCAACACGUGGGCCUUUCGGGGGGGGGGGGUAUUCAAAAUUCAAACUAUAGUAACAUCAGUUCCAGGAAAUGACCUGGACCAGUAGGUCAUUCUUCAGUGACAGAGUCCUAAGGGGAAGGUGGCCGGAAGAUGAGAAGGCGAAGACAGAAAGGUUAGGGUCAGGAAGUCUUGCACAAGCCAUGUCUAAUGCCAGACAAGUUUACUAAGAAGUACAACUUCUUAUAUCCUAUCUUCCGGGGGUCAUGGUCAAGGUCAGCAGAGAGCUAGGAGAACACAGCCUGCCUCAGACAUGGGUGCUUCAGGAAUAACCACAGUCCAGGGGGAAGAGUUGGGUCCCCACAAACCACAACUUUGACUCCUCUGAGGCACAGGGCUCCAGCUUCAGACUGGCUCUUGGCCAAGUCCAUUCUUGGACAAGGGCCUACACUAAUGCUCCCUUUGUCCCUUUCUCAGGGCCUCUGAGAAAGCCUUGGGUGGAUCUGGCUCCCAACAAGGAAGAUCAUAUAUAACCAGUAGAUGGCAUCCCCACCUGGUGGACUAAUAACCGUUGCACACUGUUCUCCAGCAGGACUUUAAACCCAUCUACACUAAAGGGUUCCGGGCUAAAGUGAGGCUAGGUCACAUUUGCUAUACCAAUCAUCGCACCCAAUGACUCAACCUCUCACUGUACGCCUGUCCCAGAGCCAAUACUCAGAUGGUAAGUGUUUCAGGGAAGGCAUAGUGAUAAAGCUAUACAUUUAAAGCAUGGACAGUUUAACACAGAAUUGCAUUUGAGGCAGGUGUGGGCUUAUUUCACACCAAAGACUAUUUCUGAACAAAGAAACAUGAACCGACUCAUGUGUUAUGCCGAAGUUCUCCUGCUGGUAAUUGUUCUAAAGGGGGCCUUCCGCCUCAGUCAUUGUCAGCUAGGAGAUGAAAAUGGAUGGAUGCUUUUCCUGACGAAUAUUUGAAUUUCCAAGGUCUUGCGUUUCACACCCAGAACUAUAUUGCAGUCAACAAUAUAAGAAAUAAUCAAUGAAUCAACUUAAAAAAAAAAGAAAAAGAGAAAGCAAGAAAAGGAUUCCCUUUGGGAAGAAGCCGAAAGCUAUGCAUAAUUCAUGAUUAACAAAUAAUUUGCCACAGUUGUUUCAGGACUGCUCACAUGAAACACCCGGCCCAGGGGUGCAAACACCACCCGCUCUGUGGAUCGGUCAGAAGUGUUCGAGUGUCUUCUGGACUGUGUGAUGGAGAAGUCCCAGGAGGCAGUAAGAGUGUGUCAGGGAAAAGGGGAGGAGAUGAGACAUACAGCGUCCUUCCUGGUAGGUUUGAUUUGGGGGACAGUAAUUUUGUGGACAACACGUGGCUAUUACUUCAUAUGGCCCUGUGAAGGAAUUUAGACCUUUUUCCCACAUGCGCAGAAUAUUUAAAUUUUUUUCCAAAGUGUGCUAAUUGCAAAGACUAAUGGGAUCCAGUGGGAUACUUGUGAACGUGCACGCACGGUGCUCUGAUCGAACUAGCUGUCCUUUUCACCCUCACCCCGUGUGGUAGUGUGAGUGUAAUUGGCUCCCACAGUCUCAUGGGAUGUGGCACUAUUAGGAGGUGUGGCUUUGUUGGAGCGGGUAUGGUCUUGUUGGAGGAAGUGUGUCACUGUGGGGGCGGGCUUUGAGGUUUCCUAUGCUCAGGAUACC